CAUCUGCUAGAUUUUUAUUAAAGUAACAAAAAAAGGUGUACAUUUGUCCAUAAACCUGUACAUUCUUCCAUAUAAAACACUAUUAUACAAUUAGUAACCUUUGUCUUUUCUAUCAGAAUAGCUUACAAACUACUAUUAUUUAUUUUUACUUAAUAGGAGAGACAGGCCUGCUCAACAGUCCAGCUCUGGGUGUUUUGUUGAUUUUAAAGUGAACAUCAAAAAGAAGAGAGAAAAGAUUAAGCAUGAGACUAUGAGGCUGCUUAUAAUCUGCAGUGAUUCACAGCUUUGUUUCAACCCACAGGCCAGAAAAUUAGCUCUUGGGUCUGUGGGCCCAAAGUUACCUUUAAAGCAAUAAAGACUGGAAACAGGGGCUGGGAUGGUAGCUGGGGAUCUGGAACGUUGAAGAGGCAGAACUGGCAGGAAUGGGUAGGGAAAGUGUUUGGUAAAUAGCACCUUUGAAUCAGAACUGAGUAGUUAAGAAAUCCAGGAAAGGGGACUGGCAGUGGGGAGGAAGUUUUCUCCACAAGGGGCAAUGGCAGGAGGGUAGCCAGGUUGACCAGAUGUUCUAGCUCCAUCCUUCUUGAGAUGGUCUUGGGUUUGCGAUACUCAAGGCCUUCUGAGGACCCCUCACUAAUACCACUGAAAACCUGAAGGAAGAGGAUUUCUUCCCAGUGUAGUUUUGCAUUUUUCUGCAACCCAAAACAGUAAAUAUUGCACAAGUCUACAGACAAAUUUGGAUUGUACUGAGAGACGGCAACAUCUCCCACAGGUGCUCUGAGCACGGGGAAGAAAAAAACAAUGCCCAAGGUUUGGCUUUUAGUGUCAGCCCUACAAAAAUACCAAGUAGUCCUGCAGAACUUGGGGCAUUCUCCCAUUCGGCCAAGGAAUACUGCAAGGCUGAGGAUCCAGCCAUAGUCCCAAGGACAGAGGGAGAGAUGGUUCCCUAAGCCUGCCAAGGCACCAGAAGGUUGUAAGAGCCAGUUCUCCUCCAGACCCUCCUGGGACCCAAGAGGCCAUAUUGCACAGUGACUGAGAACUUUUGUCCUAGAAAACAGGGUAACUGCAUGACCCAACCAGGAGGGGAGAGGAGCAGGGAGAGUUAGAGAGGAGUGUUGUGCUUUUAAAAAGAAGGCAGUAAUCAAGGAUGUGGAGUUCCCUGUAACUUUUGAGCCACCUCUCCAAGGGAUAAUGGUAGCAUCGCCAGGACUUUCACGUAGUUCCAAAAAAAAAAAAAAAAAAAAAAUUACCACAUAUACACAUAGAGCAGCACAUAGCAAGGCAAAGAUUUCGUGCAGAGUACCCUUCUGUCCCAACUCCAAUAACCUGCAACCCCUGCCUCACUCCCCUGAACCCCCAAACAAAAAGCUUUAUAUUCUUGGUGGGUAGCAACAUCCAUAGGCCCCUGAGAAUAGAAUUAGAAAUAAGUCAUGAUUUUAAGAAAAACUGUUCAGGACAGAAGGAAUCAAGAGAGGCUUUUUCACUCUCUGCCUAGGAUCUCAUUAGAAAAAUAAAAGAGAAAGAUUAGGCAAUAUAGCAUAAUUUAAGUCCAGGUUUGAAUGCCCCUGAGUAAGAGAGGGGCUGGGGAUGCAGGUGUCCUGGUUAGAAGAGGGAGAGGUUAGAACUCAGCCUCUCUUCUCCAUCCAGGACAGAUCCUGACCUCUCUCAUUCACAGUUGCUAACCUUGCUUGCUCCUUCUCACAACUUCCUGGGGUGCUAGCCAAGCCUCUCCCCCAUCACCUUGACCAGACCCGCCCCCUGAACUUUCCCCCCUCCCAUAGGCAGACACUGGCUCCCAGACUCAAGCGCACAACGAUUCUCUCCAAAGGCACCUGGGGAGGCCACUUCCAAGCAGCUCCCUUUAAGGAUUUUUUUCUUAAAAAAAAUCUUUUGGUUUUUUUUUUUCUCCUCUUUUCUUAAAAAAAAAAAAUAAUAUAUAUAUAAAUAGCUCUUCAUUUAAAAUACAGUUCCCCAGGUUGAGGUAUGCAAUGGCCUGUUGUCACGGCAGGCAGAAUGAGUACAGUAGAGUGCCAGGUGGGGGCCACAGGGGAUCUAACUGGAGACCGCCAUGACGUAGUUCUUCGAGGGGCUGCUCCUGCCCAGCAUCAUUUGGUUCUUGCAGGUGAGGAGCCCAUAGGAGGUGGCCACCGGGGCCUCCUCGUACAGGAC
rnacentral:lncRNA from 1 species